UAAAUACAAUGUGCCUUUCCUCUGACCGAUCACUGCAGCAGCACCUUCCCUUCAAACACUGAGAAGAAAACCGUCUUCAGAGCAUCUGUCAGACAUCUUUCUCAACCAAAGCAGGGGCCAGAAGAUCCUGCUGGCAACAGACGCCAAGAUGGCUGGUCUGUGCUGGAUGGUUGUGGUUCUGGCCUU